UACUAACAGCGGUCUAAUAUAUUGUAGAACUUAUUAAGGCACCACAGUUUCGUACAACACAUGGCAACUCGUCGUGGGGCUUUCUUCUUGUGUGUAUCCGUUAUUGCAGCGAGUUUUGUAGAGGGACCCGUCUAACAUUACCAUGAAAUAGUUGAUAUUCUUGGUCAGAUUUAUCUGUGGAAAGUGUUACACGUAAUGACCAGCACGUUUGAGCGGUUUUUGCGGUUGUACUGGCGGUAUCUUGGAUUCAUCAGUGGUCGAACUACACCGAUUUCCUCAGCAAUAAUUCUUCCAUAAAGAGGUGGCGUACAGGAACAUGUGCAAACACAUUCUACAUCCCAAGAUAUGUUGCUGGAAGCGUUCAAUAAAUGCUGUUAAGUUUCACCA
rnacentral:lncRNA from 1 species